GGUCUGUGGCUCAGCGGUAGAGCACUUGCCUGGCACGUGCAGGGUGCUGGGUUCAACCCUCAGCACCA
rnacentral:tRNA from 1 species